ACGUUAACUCCAAAAAAAAAAUAAAAAUAUAUUAAAAUUAAAACGAUAGUAAGCCUAAUUUCCUAAAAAAUUGUAAUUUUUUUAUUAUUUUUUAUGAAAUUAUAAGUUUGAUAUAUGGUGAUGAUGAAACUAAUUCCACUAAAAUCUUAAGUUUGUUGAUGGCAAUGAGAAAAUUAUGAUUUCUUUAUUGAAAAAAAUGGUGAAAUUCGUAGAUGUAUAUUUCUUUUUUGUAGGACUUGUACUCUAUCUUUGGCUCCGAAUCGGAAUGAGGACGAGGAAGAACUAGAAGAUUACGCUCAUCUGUGUGAGUGGAGGAGCACUACUACAAAAUACACUUUUAGUGUCAGUUUGAGUUUCGUUUAAUUUAAAAAACUGACACUAUAGAGUAUCUUUAAUUUUUGGUGUCGGUUUAAAACUGACAUUUAAAAAGUAUAAUAGUAUCGGUCAAUAAACUGACACCAAAGCCAAAACUGAGACUUAAAAAAUUUAAAAAGAAAAAAUUAAAAACAAAAUACUCCUUUGGUCUCAAUUUAAAACUGACACUUAAAAGAAAUUAUAAAUCUUAAGUCUCGGUUUUAAACCGAGACCAUAGAGGAUAUAAAAAUCAAAACCUUUGGGCUUGCAAAAAAUUAAAAUAAAAGCGGGAUGCUUUGCGAAAUAUUAAGGCGGUAAAAAAAAGUUUCGUCUCUUCAAUUUCAAAGAAAAACAAACAUAUUAUCUCAUAAGCUUAUCAUUCUCAAUUCUGGUUUGCGGAAUAUUAAGGCUGUAAGAAUUUUUUUUUUCAAUUCUCCAUCUUGUUUUUGCUCUGGUCUUUAACUCUAAUCUCAUUCCUGCUUCACUCUCUAUUUGGUCAAAAGAUCCAUGAGACAAAGGAAGGAACAAUUUUUCGAAUUUUCCACUGAAAUCUGGUAUGUGUAUAUGUUUAGAUUUAAGUUUUGGAUCUUCCUUUGUCUCCAUUACUCUGGUAGGGUUUUAAUUUUUUAUGGAUAUUUUUGCCCAAUAUUCUAUAGAUUUGAACUGUAAUAAUCUUUCUCAUCGUACAUAUUAUAAAUCUUUUUCUUGUUCUUUAUUUCUGUUUCAUGAAUUUUGCAUAUACAAAACUUCAUUGUACGUUCAUUGUUAGUGUAUUUCAAGUUUUAAUUUUGGAUAUUUAUUGUGUUGAUAUUGAUUUGAUAUUUCUUCGGCAACUUUGACUUUACUUAACACUGGAAGGAUCAGCAGCAGUGGAUUAUAUACAACUUAUGAUUAAGAAGGUCUAGGACAGGUGUCCUUCUCUCUGUCAAUUGAAGAUCCCUAGAUUGAUUUAGCCGUUAUUCUUGUAAUGAUGUGGCAAUGAUUGCAUUUGUACAAUUUAUUCCUUGUUUGUUACAAUUUGCCUACAGCUGUAACCAAGCCAUUGGCUUUUCUCUGUAUUGGUCAUUAUCGACCCUGCUUAUAAAUAUAUUCACUCAGUCUCUUGAAUUAUUGAGCUGAGAUUUCACAAAACACUCUUGCAUUAAUUUUCACUGAGAUCACUAAUUCUUUUUAAUUCUUCUAGUCAUGUGUUUGUUUCCUGAGAAAAAAGGACUAGAAAGAUAUAGAAAAUUUAGUUUUGGAACAUUGUGUUUGUUGCAUGUUGUAGGAAAUUAGAAAAAGUAAAGAAAUUUGAGUAAAAAAUUUGUGCUUUUCAUUUUCCUCUGUUGUUUGAUGAUUCAUUCUGUUGCUCAAUAUCAUCAUUUUGAGUUAUCAUUAGGAAAAAGGGAAAGGAUUUUAUCUGAGUUUAUUGAGUGAAAGGAAUGAUCUAAUAUUUAAAGAACUGAUUUUUGUUUUCUUUUUUUAAGUUUCAUGUUUGCUUGUAGAGAAUUUUUGGUUCUGGCUGGAUUCACUUCUUAUUAGCUUAGGUUGAUCAGCUGGUAAUGCUGUAAAUGUCACUCUUUGCUUUACAUGAAGAAAGCUGAUGACAUAGUAAUUGGCUCACAUCACUUAUCGACUUAAAAGUAUGUGUAAAGCAUGUAAUAGUUUUUGUACUAAAACGGAAUUGGAGCAAUGAGAUUGAAGAAUGAAUGCGAUAUCUUCACAAAUUAAUGUGGAGCUCCGAACAUAGAAGGGAUAUAUUAAUGAUAAUCAAGCAUUGCAAGGAGUUUUUACCGGUUCUAGUCAAAUGUCAACUUCUUGGAUUGAAUGUUGGCAAUGCUUUUGAAGCUACUAAUUGAUUUAAUUUUAUUAUUUAAGUUUGUUAUGUAAAUCAUUAGCAGUGAAUAAAUAAGUUUAUAAUUUUGUGUGAAAUAAGAGUAGUCUUUUUAUUAUAUGUAAUAUAUACUGUAAAUAAUAUUUUCAUUUUUUUUAGUUCUUUUGAUUUUAGUA